rnacentral:rRNA from 1 species
AGUGAACGCUGGCGGCAGGCCUAACACAUGCAAGUCGAACGGCAGCACAAGAGAGCUUGCUCUCUGGGUGGCGAGUGGCGGACGGGUGAGGAAUGCAUCGGAAUCUGCCCAUUUGUGGGGGAUAACCUCGGGAAACCGGGACUAAUACCGCAUACGACCUACGGGUGAAAGCAGGGGACCUUCGGACCUUGCGCAGAUGGAUGAGCCGAUGCCGGAUUAGCUAGUUGGAGGGGUAAAGGCCCACCAAGGCGACGAUCCGUAGCUGGUCUGAGAGGAUGAUCAGCCACACUGGGACUGAGACACGGCCCAGACUCCUACGGGAGGCAGCAGUGGGGAAUAUUGGACAAUGGGCGCAAGCCUGAUCCAGCCAUGCCGCGUGUGUGAAGAAGGCCUUCGGGUUGUAAAGCACUUUUGUUGGGAAAGAAAAGCAGCCGGUUAAUACCCGGUUGUCAUGACGGUACCCAAAGAAUAAGCACCGGCUAACUUCGUG